GUGCUUGUGGUGUAGUGUUUAUCACACCCGCCUUAUGCGCGGAAGGCACCAGGUUCGAUCCCUGGCAGGCACG
rnacentral:tRNA from 1 species